rnacentral:rRNA from 1 species
GCAAGAUUAAAACUCAAAGGAAUAGACGGGGACCCGCACAAGCGGUGGAGCAUGUGGUUUAAUUCGACGAUACGCGAAGAACCUUACCUGGCCUUGACAUAGACAGAAUUUUGCAGAGACGCGAAAGUGCUAGUUUACUAGAACUGUCAUACAGGUGCUGCACGGCUGUCGUCAGCUCGUGUCGUGAGAUGUUGGGUUAAGUCCCGCAACGAGCGCAACCCUCGUGUUUAGUUACUAACAGUUCGGCUGAGGACUCUAAACAGACUGCCUGGGUAACCAGGAGGAAGGUGAGGACGACGUCAAGUCAUCAUGGCCCUUACGGCCAGGGCUACACACGUGCUACAAUGGGGUAUACAAAGAGCUGCAAUACGGUGACGUGGAGCAAAUCUCAUAAAAUAUCUCCCAGUUCGGAUUGAAGUCUGCAACUCGACUUCAUGAAGUUGGAAUCGCUAGUAAUCGUAGAUCAGCAAUGCUACGGUGAAUACGUUCCCGGGUCUUGUACUCACCGCCCGUCACACCAUGGGAAUUGAAUUCAUUCGAAGCGGGGAUGCUAAAAUAGCUACCUUCCACAGUGGAUUUAGUAACUAGGGUGAAGUCGUAACAAGGUA